GGCGUCUGUGGGGAACUGGGGCGCUGGUCGGUGCGCGGGCUGGGACGCUAAGUCAUGAGGAAUUAAACUGGGAAACCUGGCGUGGGUCCAGGCGCCUUCCAGGAGGCAUCCGGCGCGGCCCGGACGUGCUUCUACCCAGAACCACCCCCUCCAGGCCGGGGUGCACUUAACGGGGCUAUACAAAGAGUCUGGUGGGUGACUGUGGGCCUCAUCCCUAUCCCGGGGUCUGAUAGGGAAGACUCUCGGGCCCCGCAGGGAAUAUCUGGCUAGUGCACCCUCGGCGGGAGCGCCACUCUCCCUCCUUGGGCGGCGCCCCCCACCUCUCAUCCCGCCCAAUCCGUUUUGCAAAGUCGGCCAAAACAAAAACAAACUUGGAGCGCUGAUAGACACUGUUAUUGCCCAUCUGAACUCGUCAACUGAGAAGGAAAGAGAUGGUUUAUGCUGUGAAUAAAAUACAGUUGUGCUGUGAUGUAAAUCCCCUCAUCCUGGAGCAGCUGAGCAAGGUCUAAGGCAGGAAGAACCUUCAAGCAGGUCAUGGCUCAGCAGACUCCACUCCUUCCCGCCAUUGUGAAUAUUAUCAUCUUCAUCUUUUUAUACUGUACUACUUCUGCUACACUGACCUUCUCUCCAUGCCACCAAACCACACUCCUAAGUGCAGAGAAUAUGAUUGAUUCUCCUACUAUACCAAUUUCCAUGAGCAGGACCAAUUACAUAAUUUGCAGGGUCCAGAGGAAAAAAAAUGCAGAACUCCUCAUUGAAAAAUUACUAAGAAUUUCAAGAUGGUGGCAACAGAGCAUUAAACCAACCACAGGGUCUUUCUAACAUGGAGAACUAAGUGACUACACAGGCUACAUGUCCACGAAGCCAGACAGUCUCUGAAGUGCAGGCUCAACUCUGCCUGGCAGUGGCAAGGGCCAGGGCCAGUGACUGAAGCAACAAACUGCCAGAUGACUGCAGCUCAAGCCAAUGCACAAAGCCACUGCAACAAGAGAGGAAAUUCUUCCAUUUCCAAGUGUGUCGAUUUCUCCCCAUCAAGGAAAACAGCUAAGGCAAUGUGUUGAUAUUUUCUUUGACCAAGUCAUCAGGAGUCACAUAGACAUACAGCACUCAAGAAGUGGCUGUAACUAAAGGCACAUCUCGUUCAUCUACAACCCUUGUAAUCCCAACCUUUGUCUGAUGCACAAACCCUUCCCUAGUUCUCCCCACCACCACCACUGCACCUCCAAGUGGGGACAACGAAUUGUUUCAUUUGCAUGUGGUUUUUCUCAUGAAAAAUAUCAUUAACAUGAGACAGCCCCAAACCAAGGAAACCAGAAGUGGGGUUUGUGCUUGGUCUUACUGAGAGCUUUCCCUACUUGACCAGACCCCAGCAUUGUUCUAGAUUUGUCUCUUGUGGGCUACAGGAAUGCAAACAUUUUGUAGUUUCCUCUUUUUUGUUUUCUUAAUGGCUUGAUGAGCCACACAUGUUUCUCUAAAUGCAUGAUUUUAAAUUCA
rnacentral:lncRNA from 1 species